rnacentral:rRNA from 1 species
GAUGAACGCUGGCGGCGUGCCUAAUACAUGCAAGUCGAGCGAACAGAUGAGGAGCUUGCUCCUCUGACGUUAGCGGCGGACGGGUGAGUAACACGUGGAUAACCUACCUAUAAGACUGGGAUAACUUCGGGAAACCGGAGCUAAUACCGGAUAAUAUAUUGAACCGCAUGGUUCAAUAGUGAAAGACGGUUUUGCUGUCACUUAUAGAUGGAUCCGCGCCGCAUUAGCUAGUUGGUAAGGUAACGGCUUACCAAGGCAACGAUGCGUAGCCGACCUGAGAGGGUGAUCAGCCACACUGGAACUGAGACACGGUCCAGACUCCUACGGGAGGCAGCAGUAGGGAAUCUUCCGCAAUGGGCGAAAGCUUGACGGAGCAACGCCGCGUGAGUGAUGAAGGUCUUCGGAUCGUAAAACUCUGUUAUUAGGAAAGAACAAAUGUGUAAGUAACUAUGCACGUCUUGACGGUACCUAAUCAGAAAGCCACGGCUAACUACGUG